GCUGCGUGAGUGUGGAGUGUGUGUUGAAGUUGUAGGAUUUAAGUUAGGGCAAGAGUUGGAAGUUUGGGCUUGGGCCUAGGGUUGGUUUUUAUUUAAUUGUUGGGCUCUUAUUUUAAAUGGGCUGGACUUCAUAUUUUAAAUUGCAUUAUUAAGUUGGGCCUGAUUAUUUUUUAUUAAAUCCCAACUCAAAUUUUAAUAAGAGCAUGCAUUUUAUAUUUUGAUUCAUUAGACCAACUAUUUUCCAAAUGAUUUUAUGAUAAUAAAUUCUUAAGAUUUAAACUACUAUUAUUAUUAUUUUAAAGUUCAAUUAGGCCCUUAUAUUUUAUUAUUUGAAUUUAUCUGACUAGGUGCGACGCGACUAGGACAUAACUUUUCAUUGAACUAUUCAAGUCAGUUAUCAAGUUCAAGUUUCAGGUGCGACGCGACUAGGACAUAACUUUUCAUUGAACUAUUCAAGUCAGUUAUCAAGUUCAAGUUUCAGGUGUGGGAUUUAUUUCAGUACAUGCUGUGGUUAAUCUUUGUCCAUUUUAAUAUUAUGUGUUUGCCAUAUGUGUUGUAAAUUCAGUUAUAUCGCUAGGGGCCCGCUCAAUGGGUCCAGGACUUCACCGUCCUUGGUAUGCCACAAUGCGAUUUCAUGUUACAGUUAGGGUUGCAACCUAUUCGCCAGGGGCCUGCUCAAUGGGUCCAGGACUUUAAAGUCCUUGGUAUGCCACCGUGCGAAUUUCAGUUAUCAGUACAGUGCAGUGCGUAUUUUGACGUUGGAGACGCGUGGAAGGUCGAAUGGGCGCAUCGAGAUUCAAGACAUUUAUCAAGUAGUUGAUUUGAUUUUCAACUAAUUUAAGUAUUUAAAGUUUUGCUUAGCACAAGUUUUACCUAAUACUUGGAUAUUUUGAUGACAUCUUUAUGUCAUGCUUUGAAAUAAGAGGUUGAUUGUCGAUUUUU